AUAGUGGCGGACGGGUGAGUAACGCGUAAGAACCUACCCUUAGGAGGGGGACAACAGCUGGAAACGGCUGCUAAUACCCCAUAAGCUGAGGAGUAAAACAUACCUAAAAGGUAUGGCCUAGGGAGGGGCUUGCGUCUGAUUAGCUAGUUGGUGGGGUAAGAGCCUACCAAGGCGACGAUCAGUAGCUGGUUUGAGAGGAUGAUCAGCCACACUGGGACUGAGACACGGCCCAGACUCC
rnacentral:rRNA from 1 species